GACGAACGCUGGCGGCGUGCCUAAUACAUGCAAGUUGAGCGCUGAAGGUUGGUACUUGUACCAAAUGGAUGAGCAGCAAACGGGUGAGUAACGCGUGGGGAAUCUGCCUUUGAGCGGGGGACAACAUUUGGAAACGAAUGCUAAUACCGCAUAAAAACUUUAAACACAAGUUUUAAGUUUGAAAGAUGCAAUUGCAUCACUCAAAGAUGAUCCCGCGUUGUAUUAGCUAGUUGGUGAGGUAAAGGCUCACCAAGGCGAUGAUACAUAGCCGACCUGAGAGGGUGAUCGGCCACAGUGGGACUGAGACACGGCCCAAACUCCUACGGGAGGCAGCAGUAGGGAAUCUUCGGCAAUGGACGAAAGUCUGACCGAGCAACGCCGCGUGAGUGAAGAAGGUUUUCGGAUCGUAAAACUCUGUUGGUAGAGAAGAACGUUGGUGAGAGUGGAAAGCUCAUCAAGUGACGGUAACUACCCAGAAAGGGACGGCUAACUACGUG
rnacentral:rRNA from 1 species